UCUCGAGUUAAGUUUCGUCUAAGCAAGUUCAGUGAUGGCAAAUAGUUACGACAGCAGAAAGUGUUGAACUUCUCCUCUGCAGAAUUUAUUAUUAAAAAAAAAAAUAGAAGGGAAGCCUCGUCAACUAGUAGGUGGGUCGACUGGUUUUCAAUUGAGGUACUAGCCAGUUCAUGAGGUUUCAUUCAGUUUUUUAGCAUCCAAGUUUUAGGUUGUAAUUAGAUCAGUUUCAAGUUCUUUUUAAUUGCACUAAAUUGACUCACGUGAUUUCCAAAAUACUACUCUUUAUGCCAUCAAUUUUUAUCUAAACCAAAUAGGGGCUAUAUAUAUGUGUGUGUGGAAUCCUUCACAUCUCGAAAGAGGAUAUGUUCCUUGUUUGGGAGAUUGAAAUAUAGAUUUUUUUCCUCCUCCUUUGGAUUGGGGCAUCCAUUGGUGGAAUUCAGUAGGAAAAUCAAUACUGUGUACUUCGAUCUUCGAAAAUUAAAAGGGAGCUCAGUCACAAGUAUGCAUGAAAGAUGGACGCUUUCUCGUAUUUACAUUUGAAAAUUUUUCCAGAUGUUAGAAAUUUUCUUCAAAUGAAAGUUUAUGCAAAGGUUUCAAUCCAAGGACAAUCCAAAACCACCAAGAAAACCCCAGCCGACAUGGAAGGUGAGAUAAAUCCUAGAUGGAAUUUUCCCAUAGGGUACGCCAUAGGAGACGCAGCAGUCCAACAAGAAGGUAUAAAUCUUGUAAUUAUACUGUAAAGGGACUCUUGGAGACAGAUUUAUUGGUGAAGUGAAUUUACCACUGAAAAGUCUCUUUUUAAAAUGGAUUAAGUGCUCAAAAUAUGAGCUAUGCUAUCGCGGGAACCCCUAAAGGAAGAAUGAGUAUGUUAUACAGAUUCUGUGAAAGGACUUUUGUUAAGAAACCUUCUGGUUGGAACAAGGCACUAGAUUUUGGAUUCAUGAUACUAGUUAGAGGAGCACUUCUUCUAUUAGGGGGAGACGAUGAUCCUAUGAGAUUCUGGUUUUUACAGACUCUAAGGAUGCAGAUGUUGUUAAAGACGGUGAUGUUUUCUACGAUGUCCCAGGUUCAGAUGGAGGGGACCAUUGUUAAGAUAAAUAUUUCUUUCUUAGAGAUAGCUGUCUAGAACUUGAUUUUCUUUAAUGUUAGGAGUUCUCACGCUCUUUUCAUUAUGUCAACUGGAUCGAUAUCAAGUGUAUCGAAUGAUUUUGAGCCACGUAAGAACUAAAGAAUUAGGAUUGUUGUCGGAGCUUUGAUUUACAA
rnacentral:lncRNA from 1 species